rnacentral:rRNA from 1 species
CAGCCUUUGACAUGUCCACUAUGGAUUUGAGAGAUCAGAUCCUUCGGUUCGGCCGGGUGGAACACAGGUGCUGCAUGGCUGUCGUCAGCUCGUGUCGUGAGAUGUUGGGUUAAGUCCCGCAACGAGCGCAACCCUCAUCUUUAGUUGCCCCCGGGUCAGGCCGGGCACUCUAAAGAAACCGCCGGUGACAAGCCGGAGGAAGGCGGGGAUGACGUCAAGUCCUCAUGGCCCUUACAGGCUGGGCUACACACGUACUACAAUGGUGGUGACAGAGGGCAGCGAAAGCGCGAGCUGGAGCUAAUCCUCAAAAGCCAUCUCAGUUCGGAUUGCACUCUGCAACUCGGGUGCAUGAAGUUGGAAUCGCUAGUAAUCGCAGAUCAGCACGCUGCGGUGAAUA